UACGGGGGGGCAAGCGUUGUUCGGAAUUACUGGGCGUAAAGGGCUCGUAGGCGGCCAACUAAGUCAGACGUGAAAUCCCUCGGCUUAACCGGGGAACUGCGUCUGAUACUGGAUGGCUUGAGUUUGGGAGAGGGAUGCGGAAUUCCAGGUGUAGCGGUGAAAUGCGUAGAUAUCUGGAGGAACACCUGCGACGAAGGCGGGUUGCUGGGCUGAUACUGACGCUGAGGCGCGAAAGCUAGGGGAGCGAACGGG
rnacentral:rRNA from 1 species